rnacentral:miRNA from 1 species
UGGGUUGGCCAAAAAGUUCGUUCAGAUUUUUCCGUAAGAUCCUAUGACACGAACUUUUCGGUCAAUCCA